UAAGGACCAUUCUCAUCAAUAAGCAAAUUUUCCCACUGAUCAAGUGGAUGCAAGGAUCAUGGGAAAUUACUCCUCUUUGAUCUCUACUAUUCUGAUUACUUAGUUCACUGCAGAACAGCACUUGGAGCUAUUGUGUUCUAUCUGAUUGAUAUCAGGAAAGCAGAAGAAUGAUGUUCAUCAAGCCUCGGUCAUUGAAUAUUGCCUUCCUCAUUGAGGACUAUAUCAUUUUCACAACAGCCUACCUGAUGGAUGCAAGUGCAGUGAAAUGAAAUGGAAGUAUAAACAGUGGAUCAUCGUGCUUUGGAUCUCAGCAGAGACAUUGGAAACCAAAAGGUCUGAGAGCAAGACCUGUCAGAAGGCCUUUAGGUUGAUCCCUGUGCAGCAGCCAGAGUGAUGUCAAUUAUCGCAUCAGUCUCUGGGAGGACACUCUGCUGGCUAGGAAGAGAUGCUGGGAAACAGAACAAAAGUGCAGUGAAGGAAGGUCACAUAAUCAACACCUGGUCAGUAUUAAUUGAGAACAUCAUUGAGACAGAUUUAUAACCCUGUGAAUUAUCCCAUUGUGAACCAUCCCUCUGAGCCAUCCAGUGGACAACAAGUAAAUGAUGUUUUGGGAACUGACUUGUGAAAGGAACGACUUGAUAUAUUACAAAAUGCACAAACACUCUAAGGAACCUAAUGGUUGAACUAACUGUGGAAUGGCUCCAGCAGGAAUUUGAUGAAAUUAAAGAAACAUGUACGUAUGGAUUAGGAUCAGAAUUACAGCUUUGUAAAUGGCAAUAAAGAACUAAGGAAUGUUUGGAAAUUGUGUGAAGAAAUGUAUAAAAAGGUGCCUUGUGGGAUGACCAGCAGCAGUGACUCCUGACACCAACCACUGUAGAUAAAGAUCCUGAAUCAGGGACGUAGAAGAACUCGCCAAGAUUGUAUCCCAGCAAGGUUCAUCAAGAGUGGGUAAUAUCUGAAUGCAGGGCAGUGGGUUUUGGAAGUUGGGAAAGUAAACUAAAAGUUGUGAAACUAAAGAGUUUGAGUCUUAUUUGAAACUAUGUUGUGAACCUUUGAGUUGUUUGAACCAAUCACUAUUAAUGAAGUAUAGUUGUUGGACAAA